UACGUAGGGUCCGAGCGUUGUCCGGAAUUACUGGGCGUAAAGAGCUCGUAGGUGGUUUGUCGCGUCUGCCGUGAAAGUCCGGGGCUCAACUCCGGAUCUGCGGUGGGUACGGGCAGACUAGAGUGAUGUGGGGGAGACUGGAAUUCCUGGUGUAGCGGUGAAAUGCGCAGAUAUCAGGAGGAACACCGAUGGCGAAGGCAGGUCUCUGGGCAUUAACUGACGCUGAGGAGCGAAAGCAUGGGGAGCGAACAGG
rnacentral:rRNA from 1 species